AAAACUUUAAAAAAAUAAUUUGAAUCUAAUGAUCAUUGAAUAUGAAAUUCUUUCUUUCAAAAAAUAAAAAACUGAAUUUAUUUCAUAAAAAUGGUAAGAGAUAAUUACAUGAUAGCAAUAUUGACUUCACAGUAUUGUCCUUUGGCAAGUAAUGUCCUUGCUAAUAUAUGUAAAUAUCCUGGAAAUACAUGGGUUGGAAAUUUAAUAGUGAUCACAGCAGUGCUGGAGGGCAAUGGUGACAUGUGUGAUCCUGAUUGUAUUGCUGCAUAUAAGGUUGAAUCUUUCCUUUCCAUAACUGUAAGGGGUAUUGCCUUCCCACAUGCUGCACAUUCACAUUAAUAUCACACAGUCUGUGUGUCAGUAAAAAGUCAAUGGAGAAACAUGCUUUCCAAGUUGGAGAAGCAUUCUUGGCUUAAAAUUGAAACUGUGAGAGGCUGCAAUACAAAGGAG
rnacentral:lncRNA from 1 species